UACGAAGGGGCUAGCGUUGCUCGGAAUCACUGGGCGUAAAGGGCGCGUAGGCGGCUUUGUAAGUCGGGGGUGAAAGCCUGUGGCUCAACCACAGAAUUGCCUUCGAUACUGCAUGGCUUGAGACCGGAAGAGGUAAGUGGAACUGCGAGUGUAGAGGUGAAAUUCGUAGAUAUUCGCAAGAACACCAGUGGCGAAGGCGGCUUACUGGUCCGGUUCUGACGCUGAGGCGGCGAAAAGCGUGGGGAGCAACAGG
rnacentral:rRNA from 1 species